rnacentral:tRNA from 5 species
GCCGAUGUAGCUCAGUGGUAGAGCACUCGAUUCGUAAUCGAGCGGUCAUGAGUUCGAAUCUCAUCAUCGGCU